CGAACGGUGCUGGAGAAGCAGGGCACGUGCUCGAUCCAUAUGGACCCAAAGCGGUUGCAGCACGUGCGCUCCUUCUCCAGCAUGGCUUC
rnacentral:pre_miRNA from 2 species